CACUUCAUUCACACUCUUUCCCUACAAGACCUCUUUUGAUUCGGCAGGUGAGUUGUUACACACUCCUUAGCAGAUUCCAACUUCCAUGGCCACCGUCCUGCUGUCUAUAUCAACCAACACCUUUUCUGGGAUCUGAUGAGCGUUGGCAUCGGG